ensembl:lncRNA
AUUUUCCUAGUUCCCUUUUAAAUGACUGCGGAAAAACAGAUUCUCUGAGCCGCAAAUGGAAAGAAGGAUUCUCAGACGAGACUCGCGAAAGCCCCGCAGCCACCAUUUAACUGCGCCCGCACAGCAGCUGAACCAAGCCCGGCUUCCAUUUCUAAAAGGGUGACAGUCUCCACUGUGGUGGCAGAAGGGACCUCUGUGGGAACUAGGGGCCGAGAGGCGUCGAGCGGCGGAACGGUCCGUGCCAGAGACUAAUUUUCUGGAGUUUCUGCCCCUGCUCUGCGUCAGCCCUCACGUCACUUCGCCAGCAGUAGCAGAGGCGGCGGCGGCGGCGGCUCCCGGAAUUGGGCUGGAGCCGGAGCCGGAGCCGGAGCCGGAGCCUCGCCGCUCCUUCUCGCGCGCGCCGCGCUCCGAGCCAACGGCAAGAGGAGCCUGGACCCGGGCGCAGAGCUGG